rnacentral:rRNA from 1 species
GAUGAACGCUGGCGGCGUGCCUAAUACAUGCAAGUCGAGCGAAUGGAUUAAGAGCUUGCUCUUAUGAAGUUAGCGGCGGACGGGUGAGUAACACGUGGGUAACCUGCCCAUAAGACUGGGAUAACUCCGGGAAACCGGGGCUAAUACCGGAUAACAUUUUGAACCGCAUGGUUCGAAAUUGAAAGGCGGCUUCGGCUGUCACUUCUGGAUGGACCCGCGUCGCAUUAGCUAGUUGGUGAGGUAACGGCUCACCAAGGCAACGAUGCGUCGCCGACCUGAGAGGGUGAUCGGCCACACUGGGACUGAGACACGGCCCAGACUCCUACGGGAGGCAGCAGUAGGGAAUCUUCCGCAAUGGACGAAAGUCUGACGGAGCAACGCCGCGUGAGUGAUGAAGGCUUUCGGGUCGUAAAACUCUGUUGUUAGGGAAGAACAAGUGCUAGUUGAAUAAGCUGGCACCUUGACGGUACCUAACCAGAAAGCCACGGCUAACUACGUGCCAGCCGCCGCGGUAA